AGAGUUUGAUCAUGGCUCAGAACGAACGCUGGCGACGCGUCUUAAGCAUGCAAGUCGAACGGCAGCACGGGGCAACCUGGUGGCGAGUGGCGAACGGGUGAGUAACACGUAGGUGAACUGCCCUUGGGCUGGGGAUAGCUUGUGGAAACACAGGGUAAUACCGAAUGAGGUCACGAGAUUUUGAUUUUGUGAUGAAAGGGGCUAAGGCCUCGCCUGAGGAUGUGCCUGCGGCUGAUUAGCUAGUUGGUGGGGUAAAGGCCUACCAAGGCGACGAUCAGUAGCCGGCCUGAGAGGGUGGACGGCCACACUGGGACUGAGAUACGGCCCAGACUCCUACGGGAGGCAGCAGCUAAGAAUCUUCCGCAAUGGACGAAAGUCUGACGGAGCGACGUCGCGUGGGUGAUGAAGGCGGAAACGUUGUAAAGCCCUUUUAUGGACGAGGAAUAAGCUCGGGAGGGAAUGCCUGAGUGAUGACGGUAGUUCAUGAAUAAGCCCCGGCUAAUUACGUGCCAGCAGCCGCGGUAACACGUAUGGGGCGAGCGUUGUUCGGAAUUAUUGGGCGUAAAGGGUAUGCAGGCGGUUUCGUAAGUCUGGUGUAUAAUCCCUCAGCUUAACUGAGGAUCUGCGCUGGAAACUGUGAGACUAGAGUACAGGAAGGGGAGUUGGAAUUCCAGGUGUAGGGGUGAAAUCUGUAGAUAUCUGGAAGAACAUCAGUGGCGAAGGCGAACUCCUGGCCAUGUACUGACGCUGAGAUACGAAAGCGUGGGGAGCAAACAGGAUUAGAUACCCUGGUAGUCC
rnacentral:rRNA from 1 species